ensembl:lncRNA
CGAGAAUGACCUCCUAUUAUUGCAUCACAUUCCGAGCAAGAAUCUGUUCCUGCACAAGAAAAAUCUCUUGAGACCAUCGAUAACCAGCGACACAGCGACUGGUAGCAGUUAGCAGUGACACAGCGACUAGUAGUUAUUCGCAGCAUUAAGCAGUGAUUCGCAGCGAUCUGUAUUUCUCUUGUACUGUUGGACAUUACUAUCUGUGUUUUUCAGCUGGUUUUGCCUUAGAGUUUACAACCAAGACCUGAACUUCUAAAGGAGCUUCUGUGCCUCAAGACAGGUACAAUGUGAUUGAGGUACAAAGAAAGUUAACUCUCAGAGAUAGACUCCUGAACAUUCACAGCAGCCAAGUUAUCUCAAGACAGGUACCCUAUGGUUGAAGUUGCAAGAGAGGUAAGCCAAUACAAAACUGUUCAACGUGACUUUUGUGAGAAAAUCCAUUAAAUUCCCUGUCCUUAAAAUAAAUGAUUAAACUUUAGUUUUGCCGGUGGUUUUGCUGUAAGUUUCAUCAAGUUCUGAACUUGUACAGGAGCUUGUUUUCUAAAAGCUUCAAGUUCCUAGAUUUUAUAUUUGCACAAUAAGUUUCCCAUUCACAAUAAGUUUCCCUUUAGUUUUUUCACUGCUUUCACUAUAGUGUUUACCUCAGUGUCUGAGUAGUGUGAGUGAGUGAGACUGUGUGUGUGUGUGAGAGUGAGUGUGCGUGUGAGAGAGAGAGUAUGACAGUGUGUGUGAGAGAGUGAGUGUUAGAAUGUGUGAAUGGUGUGAGUGUGUGUGUGUGAAAGAGUGAGUGUAUGUGAGAGUGUAUGAGACAGUGAGUGAGUGAGAGUGUGUGAAUGAGAGUGUGUAAGUGAGUGAGUGAUUGUGAGUGUGUCUGAAAAUGUGUGAAUGGUGUGAGUGUGUGUGUGUGUGUGUGAGAGAGUGAGUGAAUGUGAGUGAGUGAACAGGGGGAAGAGCUUUCUCUUAUAGAGCCCCACAGUUAUGGAACAGUCUUCCUAUUAGUGUUCGGGACUCAGACACAGUCUCAGUGUUUAAGUCUAAGCUUAAAACGUAGUUGUUUUCUCAAGCCUACCCUGACUAGAUUCUGUUCUACUACUUCGCAGUCAUAAUUAUCUUUUUUCUCCCUCUCUCCUUUCGCCGAGCCCCACACGAAUUUAUGGAGAUACUAGAGAUCCAGAUCCUUUCUGCCUCUGGAUGGAGCUCAAAUCUUCUUUAAUUCCAGACUGCUGGGACUACGGCUGCUCUUAACGCCAUACAGACUUCAUAUAAAUCCAUAAUGAACUCUUUCACAAUAUCUGUUGUUACCCAGAUGAGGAUGGGUUCCCUUCUGAGUCGGGUUCCUCUCAAGGUUUCUUCCUCUUAAAACAUCUUAGGGAGUUUUUCCUUGCCACCGUCGCCACUCAGUGGCUUGCUCAGUUGGGAUAAAUUCGCACCUUUAAUAUCUGUAUACCAUGUUGAUAUUUCUGUAGAGCUGCUUUGAGACAAUGUCUAUUGUAAAAAGCGCUAUACAAAUAAAAUUGAAUUGAAUUGAAAAA